AUAAAAAUUAAAAGGACUCUUGUUUUUUAACUUUUUUAUCUGAGCCUACAACGAAAGUACCAUUGACUAUGAACUACGUUUACGUUUCAUUAACGCGUAGGAAACUUAGUUUCCUAGUUAUUGCCAAUUUCUGAGCUCGAGGUCAUCCGAAGGUCAUUGCAUGGUGGAUCACUGAAUUCAUUUUUUCAUCAGCAUUUUUUCAUAAUGCUAUUUAAAAAAGUCAAGAUUGGUCUAAAUGCCUCAAAAAACGUGGCUUCCGUUAUGGUGAACACCCUGUAUAAAGUUACCUAGUCUACGGGACAUGGUCAGCUCUUCUAGGAAGUUAAGGACCAAUAAGGAUGACCCUUGGUACAACGUGGCGUUAGUUUCUUCUGAAAUCCUUGCGUUAUCCUGGAUGUAUAUGCGAUAAUCCUGUUGCAAUCUAGUCGAAAAAUAUGCGCCAUAGUCUAGGUCAGGGGUGUCAAACUCAAAAGCUAACU